rnacentral:lncRNA from 1 species
UCAGGUUAUACUGUUAUAUGGGCUCCAGCCCAUGAUGAAAAUAAGAGGCCCAAUAGGGUAAAAUUGUUGGUAAUGUGUAUAUAUCCAACAAACCGUGCUGUGCAUUAGAGAAAAACUGGAACAAGAGGUUGCUGUGAGAAAGAGACACAAAGUUGUCUUAGAAAAGCCAAAAACGGAGGCUUUCCAUUUAGAGGUCAAAAAGGGCUGCUGGAGAGGAAAUAAAAAAGGGAGAAAAUGAUUUUUUCUUCU